rnacentral:rRNA from 1 species
UCGGGAGGACGUUCACCACGGAGUGAUUCAUGACUGGGGUGAAGUCGUAACAAGGUAGCCCUAGGGGAACCUGGGGCUGGAUCACCUCCUUAUACGA